AUUGCUCCUCGGCCUUUUGGCUAAGAUCAAGUGUAGUAUCAGUUUAAUAUACGAUACAUCCUCUAUCUGAGGAUAAUAUAUUAAAUGGAUUUUUGGAGCUUGGAGUUGGAAUAGGAGCUUGCUCAGUCCACUCCACCUAUUGACCUGGUAUUGUACUACCUCUAGGAACGGUGCACCCCCU
rnacentral:snRNA from 1 species